AUGGAGGGAUUUUCCCCGCCCCGGGGGGAGCGGCCCAAGCCGCGGGGCGGUGCCUGUGGGGGGGGGGGGGGGGGGGGGGGGGGGGGGGGGGGGGGGGGGGGGGGGGGGGGGGGGGGGGGGGGGGGGGGGGGGGGGGGGGGGGGGGGGGGGGGGGGUCCCCGCGGCCGUGAGGGGAAGGAGCGGCUGUGGCCGCCUUCUCUGCCAUGCCUGCGUGAGGGGAGGGAGCGGCUGUGGGCUGUGGGCGGCCAUGGCCCUUCUCUGCCAUGCCUGCGUGAGGGGAAGGAGCGGCUGUGGGCGGCCAUGGGCCUUCUCUGCCAUGCCUGCGUGAGGGGAGGGAGCGGCUGUGGGCUGUGGGCGGCCAUGGCCCUUCUCUGCCAUCCCUGCCGUGAGGGGACGGGGCGGCUCAGGUCGAGCAUGCCUCUUUCCCCGCCGCCGUGAGGGGAAGGAGCGGCGCUGCGCGGGCCGGGCCGCCAUGCGGCGCCGCCGCCGCCAUGAGGUGAGGGGGGGACAGGGACGGGACGGGACGGGACGGGUGGCGGCGGCAGCGGGGCUGGACACCUGAAAUACUCUCUUUUUGUAAAUUCAGCUGUUUCUGCUGGCCGGCAAGCUCUGCAGCCCGCUGUACCCUGGGAUUGGGGGUGUUGCUCGGCUGUGCCUCAGCCUUUUGCUCGGUUUGCUGAUUUUUGUCCUGUGCCACAAGCCGUAUUGUUGCUGUUGAGCUGUAUGAAUGCAGAUGGAAUCAAUGGAUUGUUUGCGAUAUUUCUGCUGUCCUCUCUUUAGGCCUUCAGCCGAUGUGGAGGAUCACGGUGACGGAGCUGUGAGUGGUCGGGAGCAGCCCUGAGGUGACCCCCGAGCUGAGCUGUGCUAUGCUGGGACAGCCAAGGAGGGCACCGGGGCCUGCAGGGAGGAGAUGUGAAGAGAUAACCUGCCCGUGAGGCACAGGGAGAGCUCUGGAGCAACGUGGCUGAGGUGUGACCAUGAGCCAACCAGGGGAAAUGGGCAAAAGUGUUUAUUUUGCUGCCUUGAAUUAACUAAAAGGCCUCUGCUGGCUCCUGUGCUAGCCUCAGGUCCUCAGAGUGGAAAGAACAUGGUUUAUCCAGUGAUAGGUGUAGCUUAUCUACUGUCUUGCUGGAUGAAGCCUUAAUGAGAGGAGGCAUUGCCACAGAGGUGCCUCCUUUUUUCUGCCCUGUAAACCCCCUAGUUUUGUUAUUUUUUCUCCCAGCAGUAGUCAGCUGCCCGUGGCUGCUCAGUGCCUGUGCCAGUGUUAUGCUGCUGGGAGAGAAAGGUGCUGCUGAGCUCUCCUGGCACCAGUGGGGCCGUCCUGGCACUCGGUGGUGCCGGGUUUUGGCAGCACUCUGCAUGCCUGAGAGUGGAGUAACUCCUGCCCGUGGAGUUAGAGCCUAGAUUGGAUGCAGACAACACACAGAAAUUAAUCUGUUGCAGAUAUUUUAGUGUGCAUCUUUUGUAUAAAAAAUAAAUACCAGCUAAUUAACUGCUCUGUGCUAAUGGUUGAACGAGGCUCCUCCUUUCAACUGUCUUUAUUGGGUUUUAUUACAGGUGAAUUGGUGUGGGGCUUGCUGGAGCAGCAGGAGUGGUCAGAAGAAAAGCUGUCAGUGCUGCUUUGAAAGGUGUUGAGAUGAAAACCUGGAGCCCACUGCUUAAAUGGGGCACCUGGAGAAGAAUUUGUUUUCAGGAUGUAGAUGUAGGAAUUGGAAACAUCAAAGGGGAUUUGGGUCAAGAUGUAACAAGAAUUACAUAUACAAUUUAUUGUUAACCUCCUCUCACUGCUUGUUUAAAAUAUAUUUUUAUAUGACCUCAAUUAAACAUAUUUAUAUUUUAGCUUGCUCAGUUUGUUUAUCUUUAUCUUACAAGGCUGUUGGUGCAGCAGGAUUUGAGAGUGGUGAAUUCCUGUGGGAGACUGGACAGGCUGUAAGGAGGCACCAGCUCUCAUCCCUAGGCCUGGGGGGAAGUGAGCCCACAAAGGAAGGCUGGAAAAGGCUGAUGAAUAUGCAAAUACAUCAGAACUGGUGGGGAGGGGCAAGAUGACCGACAAGGUUUCAGACAAAAAUUGUGUUUAAAUUCAAAAGUUGGAACCAAAGGAGUUUGUUGCUCUCUCCAAGAUGAGAUUUGGAUUCCACACAGUCUUCUGGGAAACCCUGGGUUUGUGAAAUAAUCCUUAAAUGUCUUCAGACUCUGAAUGUUUAGCCACCUGAAUACCCAGAGCUUUGAAUGCACAGCUUUUGCCCGGCACAUGCAAUACUUGUUAAAGUAUUCAACAUUAGGGAAGAAACUUUUUCCUGCAAAGCUAAUCAAGGGUUUCCCUGUGGAUUUAUGUUAUGCCCAGCAAUUUUCCUCUUUUCCAAGCAGGUGCCACGGGGCUGGGUGCCUGCUGCCCUUAGGUGGGGGGUCCUGCCCGCUGGCAGCCAAGGAACACUCUCUGUGUCAGGAGGCUCUGCUGCUGGACCAGGUAUUCCCAAAAGUGGCAAAAAACAGGGAGUAUUGGGCUCUUUUCCCAGUAACCAUCUAACCCUGCCCUCUGGCAGUGGGAGCCAUUCCCUGUGUCCUGUCUCUCCAUCCCUGUGAAUCAUCUCCAUGUUUCCUGCAGCUCCUUCAAGGCCACACUGGGGUCACCCCAAAGCUUCUCCUGCCCAGGUGAACAGUCCCAGCUCUCCCAGCAGAGCUGCUCCAUCCUCUGCCCAUCCUGGAGCCUCCUCUGGCCUGGCUGCAGCAGCUCCAGCUCCUCCCUGUGCUGGGGCAGCUCUGCAGCUGGGCUCUCACCCGAGCACAGGGACAGAAUUCCCCCUCCCCUGCUGCCCACAGGGGGUUCUGGACUGGGGCAUGUCCAGCUUUCCAGCUUUGUGCACAACUGGAAAAUAAAAACUAGGGAUGUCCUGAAGGUUCUGCAGUGGCAGCACAGGUUUGUGGCUCUGGAGCUCGGGGUGUCACCUCUAGCAGGAAGGGGGCAGUCAGCACCGUGCAGCUCCUGCAGCACGAGGGUGACUGGUAAAGGUCAGAAUGAGUCACCUCAGCCCUGCUCUGGUGCCUUGAGCGAAGCACAGCAGAGGGAACUGGGAGAGAACCCCUGAGGUCCAAGACUGGCAGUGAAAUAAAGCCAGGAAAUGCAGCAGGAGCUGCAUUUGCACUCGGGAAAUGCCAACCUGAUUUAUGGUUCUGUUUAGGAGCACCGUACAUUUUGCAAUCUAUGUGUGACUUGUACCAGGAAAAGGUGGCUGAAUGGCUUUACAUUUGCUCUGCUUUUACUGCUCUGCAGCACCACAGCACAGGAGGAUUGUUAACUCAGGCUGAUGGGCUUGUUUUUGAGCUCUUAAUUGUUUUUUUACCCUGAGCUUGUUAAGAGCUGGAUUUCUUGUGAUUGUUCUCUGAGCAUUUCCGUAUUAUUUCAACACGUAUAUUGUACCACUUCCAUUUUUCUAAAAUACCGAAUGUGUAAUUGUUUCAUUGUGCUCUCCAGCCACUUACAGAGAAGAAAAAUCAGCCUGUGAUGAAUUGAAGAGGCAGAUUUUUCCUUUCUCCUGGAACUUUCCCUGAAUUCACACACACGCCCUCACCUUCGUAAAGCUGCUGGAACCCAGCGGUUUCCAUGCUAACGGAGAGACCGGUUCCUUAGCCACAAAAUUAAAUAGGGAAUAAAUUAAUAAUAGGGAAGAAAGAUGUUGACUGAGAAAGAAAUCCAGAUAAUGAAUAGUACUUGAGGGUUUGUGUGAGUACUUGGUCACAGCUCACGGAUUUCAGGAGAGCAGCAGCACAGGGACCUCUCCUCAUCCAGCACAAGGUGGCAAUGUUGGAUCAGAGGAACAGCGCAGCCUCGCACAUGGGCUGCAGGGCCUUUUUACCAGAAUCUUCCACCGAGCCGCACAGCCACCGAGAGCCCAGUUUUGAAUAUUUUAGCGAUGGUGACACUUGUGUUGUGCUCAAAGCAGCCUCGGGCUGGGUGCCCGUGAGCGUGCCCGGGGACACAGAGAGCAACGUGCUGGCCAGAGGAUACUCUAGGCGUCCCGGGCACCCGGGAUAGAUACCCCGGGGAUUCCCCGGGCACACCCCGGUGCCGCCCCCCGGAAGCGGCCGAGGGCAGCCGCGAACCCGCGAACCCCGCACUCCUCCCGAAGGGGGCGUGGCCUCCGCCGCGCCCCGCCCCCCGCGCCUUCCCAUGCUGCCCCGCGGGAGCGCAGACAAUGAGCGGGGCGCGGGCGGCGGGCUGGCGGCGCGCGGUGCAGCGGAGCUCUCGCGAGAGCAGGGUGAGCGGCCCGCACCUCUCGCGAGAGCCGGGGGGGGGGGGGGGGGGGGGGGGGGGGGGGGGGGGGGGGGGGGGGGGGGGGGGGGGGGGGGGGGGGGGGG
rnacentral:lncRNA from 1 species